rnacentral:rRNA from 1 species
AGUGAACGCUGGCGGUAGGCCUAACACAUGCAAGUCGAACGGCAGCACAGUAAGAGCUUGCUCUUACGGGUGGCGAGUGGCGGACGGGUGAGGAAUACAUCGGAAUCUACUUUUUCGUGGGUGAUAACGUAGGGAAACUUACGCUAAUACCUCAUACGUCCUACGGGUUAAAGCAGUGGAUCUUCGGACCUUUCGCGAUUGAAUGAGCCGAUGUCGGAUUAGCUAGUUGGCUGGGUAAAGGCCCACCAAGGCGACGAUCCGUAGCUGGUCUGAGAGGAUGAUCAGCCACACUGGAACUGAGACACGGUCCAGACUCCUACGGGAGGCAGCAGUAGGGAAUAUUGGACAAUGGGCGCAAGCCUGAUCCAGCCAUACCGCGUGAGUGAAGAAGGCCUUCGGGUUGUAAAGCCCUUUUGUUAGGAAAGAAAAGCAGCAGGUUAAUACCCCGCUGUUCUGACGGUACCCAAAGAAUAAGCACCGGCUAACUUCGUG